rnacentral:rRNA from 1 species
CCUACGGGUGGCAGCAGUGGGGGAUAUUGCACAAUGGGGGAAACCCUGAUGCAGCGACGCCGCGUGUGGGAAGACGGUCUUCUGGAUUGUAAACCACUGUCCCCAGGGACGAAAAUGACGGUACCUGGGGAGGAAGCUCCGGCUAACUACGUGCCAGCAGCCGCGGUAAUACGUAGGGAGCAAGCGUUGUCCGGAAUUACUGGGUGAAAAGGGAGCGUAGGCGGGGAUGCAAGUUGGGUGUCAAAACUACCGGCUCAACCGAUAGUCGCACUCAAAACUGCAGCUCUUGAGUGAAGUAGAGGCAGGCGGAAUUCCUAGUGUAGCGGUGAAAUGCGUAGAUAUUAGGAGGAACACAAGUGGCGAAGGUGGCCUGCUGGGCUUUUACUGACGCUGAGGCUCGAAAGUGUGGGGAGCAAACAGGAUUAGAUACCCCAGUAGUC